GACGAACGCUGGCGGCGUGCUUAACACAUGCAAGUCGAACGGAAAGGCCCCUUUGGGGGUACUCGAGUGGCGAACGGGUGAGUAACACGUGAGUAACCUGCCCUUGACUUCGGGAUAACUUCAGGAAACUGGGGCUAAUACCGGAUAGGAAUCCUUGCUGCAUGGUGGGGGUUGGAAAGCUUCGGCGGUUUUGGAUGGACUCGCGGCUUAUCAGCUUGUUGGUGGGGUAGUGGCUUACCAAGGCUUUGACGGGUAGCCGGCCUGAGAGGGCGACCGGCCACAUUGGGACUGAGAUACGGCCCAGACUCCGACGGGAGGCAGCAGUGGGGAAUAUUGCACAAUGGGCGGAAGCCUGAUGCAGCAACGCCGCGUGCGGGAUGACGGCCUUCGGGUUGUAAACCGCUUUCAGCAGGGGCGAAGCUUGUGGUGACGGUACCUGCAGAAGAAGCACCGGCUAACUACGUGC
rnacentral:rRNA from 1 species